rnacentral:rRNA from 1 species
GAGCUCAACUUUGGAAUCGCUCCGGCGAGUUGUAGUCUGGAGGUGGCCACCACGAGGUGUUCUAGCAGCAGGCAAGUCCUUUGGAACAAGGCGCCAGCGAGGGUGACAGCCCCGUACCUGCUUUUGCUAGUGCUUCCUGUGGCCCACCGACGAGUCGAGUUGUUUGGGAAUGCAGCUCUAAGUGGGUGGUAAAUUCCAUCUAAGGCUAAAUAUUGGCGAGAGACCGAUAGCGAACAAGUACAGUGAUGGAAAGAUGAAAAGCACUUUGAAAAGAGAGUGAAACAGUACGUGAAAUUGUUGAAAGGGAAGGGCUUGCACCCAGACACGGUUUCGGCCGGGCCAGCAUCAAGUAGAACGGGGUUAAAAGACUUGGGGAAUGUAGCUACUUCGGUAGUGUUAUAGCCCUUGGUGAUGACCCCUGUUUUGCUUGAGGACAGCGGUCUCUAGGAUGCUGGCGCAAAGGUUGCAAGCCACCCGUCUUGAA